UCGAGAAUCUUCGGCAAUGGGCGCAAGCCUGACCGAGCGACGCCGCGUGGAGGACGAAGGCCUUCGGGUUGUAAACUCCUGUCGAGGGGGAAGAAGGGCCGCAAGGCCUUGACUGAUCCCUGGAGGAAGCACGGGCUAAGUUCGUGCCAGCAGCCGCGGUAAGACGAACCGUGCGAACGUUAUUCGGAAUCACUGGGCUUAAAGCGCGUGUAGGCGGGACGGCACGUCUGUCGCUGAAAUCCCCCGGCUUAACCGGGGAACUGGCGUAGAUACGACCGUCCUGGAGGGGCGUAGGGGGACCUGGAACUUCCGGUGGAGCGGUGAAAUGCGUUGAGAUCGGAAGGAACGCCCGUGGCGAAAGCGAGGUCCUGGACGCCUACUGACGCUGAGACGCGAAAGCCAGGGGAGCGAACGG
rnacentral:rRNA from 1 species